CUGGCUGAGGAUUACUCCGAGGCGAGAGGAAAGUCCGGGCUCCAAAGGGCAGGGUGCUGGAUAAUGUCCAGUCGGCGCGAGCUGAAGGAUAGUGCCACAGAAAUGGACCGCCGAUGGCACCGCCGUCUAACGACAGCGGAUGUCGCAGCCUUAAGGCUGUGACCGCACAGGCAAGGAUGGAACCGUGGUGUAAGAGACCACGAGGAUGUAAGGUGACUUAUGUCCUGGUAAACCCCACUUGGAGCAAGACCUAGAGGGACGCAGGCCGCUCUUGAGCGGCAGCCUUUGCCCGAGGCGCGUUCGGGUUGGUCGCUUGAGC
rnacentral:misc_RNA from 1 species